rnacentral:rRNA from 1 species
CCUACGGGAGGCAGCAGUAGGGAAUAUUGCUCAAUGGGGGAAACCCUGAAGCAGCAACGCCGCGUGGAGGAUGAAGGUUUUCGGAUUGUAAACUCCUUUUGGUAGAGAAGAUAAUGACGGUAUCUAACGAAUAAGCACCGGAUAACUCCGUGCCAGCAGCCGCGGUAAUACGGAGGGUGCAAGCGUUACUCGGAAUCACUGGGCGUAAAGAGCGCGUAGGCGGGAUAGCAAGUCAGAUGUGAAAUCCUAUGGCUUAACCAUAGAACUGCAUUUGAAACUGUUAGUCUAGAGUAUGGGUGAGGUAGGUGGAAUUCUUGGUGUAGGGGUAAAAUCCGUAGAGAUCAAGAGGAAUACUCAUUGCGAAGGCGACCUGCUAGCACAUAACUGACGCUGAUGCGCGAAAGCGUGGGGAGCGAACAGGAUUAGAUACCCCAGUAGUC